rnacentral:rRNA from 1 species
AGAGUUUGAUCCUGGCUCAGAACGAACGCUGGCGGCAGGCUUAACACAUGCAAGUCGAGCGCCCCGCAAGGGGAGCGGCAGACGGGUGAGUAACACGUGGGAACGUACCCUUUGCUACGGAAUAGCCUCGGGAAACUGGGAGUAAUACCGUAUGUGCCCUUCGGGGGAAAGAUUUAUCGGCAAAGGAUCGGCCCGCGUUGGAUUAGGUAGUUGGUGGGGUAAUGGCCUACCAAGCCGACGAUCCAUAGCUGGUUUGAGAGGAUGAUCAGCCACACUGGGACUGAGACACGGACCAGACUCCUACGGGAGGCAGCAGUGGGGAAUUUUGGACAAUGGGCGCAAGCCUGAUCCAGCCAUGCCGCGUGAGUGAAGAAGGCCUUCGGGUUGUAAAGCUCUUUCAGCCGGAAAGAAAACGCGCAGGUUAAUAACCUGUGCGGAUGACGGUACCGGAAGAAGAAGCACCGGCUAACUACGUGCCAGCAGCCGCGGUAAUA